UGAACGCUGGCGGCAUGCUUUACACAUGCAAGUCGAGCGGCAGCGCGGGGGCAACCCUGGCGGCGAGCGGCGAACGGGUGAGGAAUACAUCGGAACGUACCCCGGAGUGGGGGAUAACGCCGCGAAAGCGGCGCUAAUACCGCAUAUGCUCUGUGGAGGAAAGUGGGGACUCGCAAGGGCCUCACGCUCUGGGCGCGGCCGAUGUCCGAUUAGCUAGUUGGUGAGGUAAUGGCUCACCAAGGCGACGAUCCUUAGCUGGUCUGAGAGGAUGAUCAGCCACACUGGGACUGAGACACGGCCCAGACUCCUACGGGAGGCAGCAGUGGGGAAUAUUGGACAAUGGGCGAAAGCCUGAUCCAGCAAUGCCGCGUGAGUGAUGAAGGCCUUAGGGUUGUAAAGCUCUUUUACCCGGGAUGAUAAUGACAGUACCGGGAGAAUAAGCUCCGGCUAACUCCGUGCCAGCAGCCGCGGUAAUACGGAGGGAGCUAGCGUUAUUCGGAAUUACUGGGCGUAAAGCGCACGUAGGCGGCUUUGUAAGUUAGAGGUGAAAGCCUGGAGCUCAACUCCAGAAUUGCCUUUAAGACUGCAUCGCUUGAAUCCAGGAGAGGUGAG
rnacentral:rRNA from 1 species